AUCAACCGUGUCCAGCUCCCAGCGUGUCCGAAAGCCUGUGUAUAUCCGUGGCUUACGCCCGUACUUUCUCGAGUGCACUCCGCUGUGGAAGCUGCCUUGUCCUCCUACCUGUCCGUCCGGCCUUUUCACGAGUGCUGCCACAAGCAAACAGUGGCAAGCGGGCGGUUCCCGCCCUGGAUCCUCCGGGGACGGAAAAUAGAGGCUUCUUUUUCAGGUGGAGAAAAGAACAGCUCAAAUUCGUUUGAAACAAAAUCGGGCAAGCUGGUGACGGGUCGGUAAAGUCCUCAUGCGCGAUGCUCCCUCCGUUCUUUCACAAAAUGAGCUCUCAACCGCUUAGUGCCUCGAUUCCGGCCAGUCUCUGCAGGAUUCAAACUGUGCUUGUUUGUGAACGAAAGCAUCCCGAUCCCAGCGCUUCCUAGCCAACCUAAGCGGCUGGAUAGUUCAUAGCCGCAGCUGUAGCCAACAGUGGAGGGACGGUACAACCGCGCCACUACAAAAGUUGCUCUGAGCAGAAAAGGCAACAAAACUACAAAUCCCCUCUCCCGUCCCCGACCUCUGCGCGCACACACCGUGUGCCUUCCGCUCCCUCCCGCAAUGGGGACCGUGGAAAUAAUGAAAAGUGCUAGCGAGGUCUGAGCUGCGUCUCCCGCCUCCAUGCUAUCACGCUCGGUCGCCCCACGUUUAUUAGGGUUAUACCUGACUCUCUUUCUGUCUCUCAACCACAGUGGUUAAAUCUGAACGGGGGCAGCUCUUAGCCCUAGCUGGAAAAGAAAUGUCAAAACCUGUUGCGUAGAUUUAGACCUGAAAAAGAGUCUUCUUAGCACCCUAAAAUGUGAGUACAGUGUUUACACUCCAGCUCCUCCGUAGGCGCUUUCACUUUAGGCUGCCUUAGCCGGACUGCAGCUUGCAUGUAACUUAAGUUCACUUCCCGGAGAGCUGGGCAGAGGCAGGGCUACCCCCUUCCCGGGCACUCUGUAUCAGCUUGCGUCCUAGAGCAAUCGUAAAUUAGUGACAUCUGGACCCAAAUUCUGCAUAACUGCUUUUAUCUUUGGGGAAAGAGAAAAAUUUUCCUACGUGCUAGAAGUCAGAGCAGAUACUGCCUGCACAGCCGCGGCGCGGGGCGAAUCGCAUUGUAGCGCCUUGCGAGCGAAAUAGGCGAUCGGGAGAGGAGCUUUUUUUUGGCAUUUGCGAAGGCUCUCGUUCCAUGACAUUAUAUUUCAGAGCAGGAGGAGCGAAUCGCCUGCUCACAUUUGCCCCUGGACCGACGAGAUGGUUUCGCCUGGCUACUGCCAGCUGUCUCCCGUUUAGCUGUCGUGGAAAGUUUUAGCUGAGCCGACCCAAAUUUUCGCUCUGCUCCGCUGCCGCCGGGCGGCGAAGGCCGGGGUUUCACCCGGUCCCGCUGUCACUUUGCCGAGACCCCACUCGGCAAGCGCCUCACCCCUCCGCGCAGCAGCGUGCGAGGCCGUCAGUGUCAACACAGUCUUUGGGAAACAUGAGUGAAAUAAAAAGGUGUUUUUUAUUGCGACGCUCCUUUCAUUAGCUGUGACACAGUCUGGCUGAGGAAUGGGGUGUGGGCGGGCGGUUUUCUUCCGAGGAGCCUUUCCUUGCGUGGAACUGCUCCGUGCCCCCGAGUGAGUGCCAAAGUAGAGCUGCAGUUUUCUGAAAAUCGCCUUUUCGGCUCUGCCUUCGCCGUCCCUUUGUAAUAGCAGCCUGCAAGGGAAGCUGCAGGCCCGCAUCGCUCCUGUUAAACACACGAGCCGAUUCACCUAAGCUGCCCGACACCUUUCCCCAGCCCCUCCGACGGCUGCUUUUGCGGAACCCUUCAUCCUUUUCACCGAGCUGGGCUCGGGACAAACCUGUCACCCACUCUCACACAUCCGCUCCUGCCAGCCAGCCGUGGGCUCGGCUCAGACAGGGCCACCUCCAAGAUCGGCAGGGGUAGCAAAUAAAUGAUAAACCCCACAACUUCCACAUGCCAGAAGGAAACACAUUUCGCCGCAGAUGUCCACUACCGUGGCGAGGACUGUAGGGAGAGAAACCAAAAUGACAGACAACUCCAAGUUUUCGUUUCUUUCUUUUUUUCCCUUCCUUUAUUUUAAAAUAUUUUUAAAUUUUAAAUUUUUUUUUCUUUCCUUUUGGCGGGACUGCAAUGUGCUUUCCCUUUAAAUCCUGUGUGGUUUACCGAGACCAAAAGCCUGCCUCAAUGAAGCUGCUACUCCGGCUAGGUUUUUCUUUUAUUUAUUCAUUUUUUUUAAAGGCAUCAUAACUACCUUUGCCGAGACACUGGGCCUACUUUCCCCAUACCAUCCAACCCUGGGGCUCAGCUCAGUUUCCCCGGGCUCGCAAGUUUUUUCGUGGCUGGACUAGGGCUUCUUUAGGGGGCCAAAGCUCACCCGGGAUUCCCGGAGGCAAUUUUGCAAUUCUGAUCCUCGGGUUGUUUCCUCCGCCGUCACGUUAUUUAUUCACCUUUUAUUUAUUUUUCAGUUUUGUUUAAAACGCGAGUCUAUCCCAUCAGAGAUGUCACUAAGCUCCUGUCUCGACUGAAAAAAAGAAAGCACGGCAGAGGAUCGCUGCACACAACUGAAUUAAGACAAACAACAAUUGCUUGUUGUUCCCUGAUUUGGAGAGAAAGGAAUAAUUCAAAGCUUUUGCUGCGCGCAAUGCAGCGUUCCUCAGGGGGACGGGUCAAGGAUUUCAGAUAUGUAGCGGGUAACUCGAUUAUGCUAACAAACUCCGCUUGAAAGAGAGCGCUGGUGGGUGCGGGGCGCGGAGCGGGGUGCUGGGGACUGGGGGGCUCUGCUGGGAGCCCGGGGGAGCGGAGCGUCUGCCCCACGGAGCCGCCCCGUUCCCCGCAGCUCCGCCGCUCCUCUCCAGCGCGGAGCCCUUUCCCCGCCGGCUGGACCUGAGAUGCUCGAGUAACGUCUUCGAAAGAGAUGUAUUAAUCAGGAGAUGGGGGCCUGAUGGAACGUGACUGAGUCGGCCUCGGUGAACCUUCCUGCCCCCGCCCCCCUCCCGCCCCUCCCGUGAAAUGGGACUCCGGGAGCGGCACUGUGUCCCCAGCUCAAGGCGCUGUAACCUCCCGAGCUCCCCACGAAACACGAUAGCCCCCCCAGCCGAUUAAUGCGGCCGGUCCUGAUUGCUUUUAUAUUAUUCUUUCUCGAUCUCGGGCGAGGGGCUGAGAGUUUUCACCCAGUUCUGCCAUCAGCACUCUCCCGGCCAUUAGCAUGGAUAUUUAUUUGGGGUGUUCCCACAGAUCCCGCGGAGUCCACAGACGGCUGGGGUUUGGACCAGGGGAAACAGAAGGGGGGCCCGGGCCGGUGCCCACCCAGCCCCCGCCCCACUCCGGGCGGCGGGGACCGCCUCAGAUGCUCCGCGGCAAGAGGGGUCUCUCUCGGCACACAGUGUACAGCUAACAGACAAGACAACAACAACAACAAAAGGCACAUAUGGUUAAAAUAAAGAGAGAGAGAGAGAGCGAGAGCUCUCUGCCUUAGGGGAUUGGCAAUAACUAGCCAGAAAUGCAGGGUAUUGAAUCUAAACUUCUGGUGGGCUUCUGCGGGAUUGACAACUUAAAUCACACUACAAGCAUCAAUUUGACAAUAUUUGUAAACUUCUUGUUUCCAGGGAUCUUCUUGAUCAGAGAUAGACCAGGUUGGUAUGAGCUCCAGCCACGAAGGUCUCUUUUUUCCCCUCCUCCUUUCCCCUCUUCCGAGUUGAUGAAUAGCGAUCAUGUUUCUUUUAAUGGCUGCCCCCUAUUCUCACAGCCUCCCACAACUAACCCAAGAGCCUGUUUCCUCGACCUCAGUUAAUUCCGCUGAUUAUUCCAAGAUGAUGAGGAAAGCACGAAGAUUGUUCACUGUUCCUACCGAUUCAGAGCACUUUUGUUACCAUCUCCAUCCCUGGCCCACAGGGGAGAAUUUUUAGGAAGAGGCUGCCCUCUCUUCCCUCCUGCCUUCCCUCCCCAGGCAGCAGACAGCUCCGGGGGCUCGGCCACAGUCCUGUGGCCCCGUGGGUGAGCGAUCCCGGCCGUGGUGGCCGAGCGCGGGCCCCCUUCGUGCCGGGAGGUCCCGGACCAGUGGCACCGCCGGCAUCCCUGGGGCGCUCAGGUGGCGGCGGUGCAGGUGAAGCCGAGCUCCCGCCGGGCCUUUUCCCAAAGGGAGCAAACCUCCCGCCACGUCCUGGCGCACCAAAGGGAAUUUCGGUUCCCCCCCAGGAAGGAAGGAGGCUCCUUCGGCCCCACGGGCUGAUGACGGGGAUCCACUCCGAGAAACUUCACUAGAGGGCUCUAAUACUCAGCUCCCAUGGCUGCUGAGAGGAAACAAGGCUCGUCCUUAACAUCCUUCAGUCUCCCAGAUAGAUUAAGCCUGGUAAAGUCUUCCGCAGCCUGUCAAAGGUGGUUCACAAUGUCAUCUCCAUGACAAGAAAUCCCUUAUCUCAGCAGCAGCCACCAGCUAUCCUGCUUACCUGCAAGUGAGUGGAAUUCAUGUCCCCUUCCUGGUGCAUAAUGACCCAAGAGGAUUUUGGGAGCACUUCUUCUGUAUCCAUGGCAAGGGAAGGAAGCACAGCCUCUAAAACCCCAGACACAGGUUCUUGAAUCAGCUCAAAUACGCUGGGGACCUUUUACUUCCCAGAGAAAAAAACUGGUAUCCCUUUUCAUUCCUUUCUUUUUUUUCAUCAGUUUUAUUCUCCAUAUAAACAAGGACUUUAUUACAAGACCAAGAUUGACUUUGUUGCUUAUUUAAGAUAUAGAAAAGGCCAACCCAGUGAACACUGAAUUGGUUUCAGACAGUUAAGUCACUUCAGCAGGCAGAACUGAGAUUGUGUGCUGUUGGGGUACCAUACCCCCAUCACAUUUCCUCCAACAGCCAAGUCAUGUGUGCACAAGGGGCACAACAUCUCCCCUGGAAGCAGAUGUUGAUGGCAGCUCACACUGAUGUUACACAGUGCAAGGAGGGGGCAUGAGCUAGGCACACCAUUUGGCUGCUACCAUGCACCCAGGCACAAUUUUGGUCGUACCAGAUGGCACCUGAUUUGACUCCCUCUGUCCUGCACUAUUCUAGUCCUCCAACACUCUCCCAGAAGUUUCUGCUGUCCCUUCCAUGCUCUCAGUCCACCCCCUCCUUUGGCUUCCUGUUGUGAAAAUAUCACUUGAACAAUUUGCAAUGCAUUCCUUUACAUUAUCUCUGAUACUCAGAACUAGAACCUCACAAGAAAUAUAUAUAUAUUUUUAAUUUUGAACCACAGAGGCACCAAAAGCCCCAAAGACCUAGUGACAAAUGCCACUUAGCCUCAGGAACAGAGAGGGGAUCUCAGCCCUGUUUUACUUAGCAAUAGACAUAGUUCAAACACCUUUGCAAAAUGGGACUAAACUCUGUUAGAAAAAUGAAGAAUUUCUCUGCCCCUUCUGAGGCACAGAAAUUCUUCAUUUUUCUAACAGAGUUUAAAGUCACUGCUGCAGUAAUUCUUAGUUGUUUCAUUUCCACCAUAGCUUGCUGAAGAAGCUGAUACUAGGCAUAGGGCUGGAGAUUUCAUUGAGUGACACUGAGCUGCAAAGCAUGGGAUUCUUGUGCAACUGCAAUUCUUCUAUGUCUGCUACCUGCUCUGGGCAGAAAACAAUAAGGAAAUUACUCUUUAAAGUUAUUAAAUACACACACACACAAAAAAAUUAUGUGUAUUUAUGUAGUCUGGCUGUUUUAAUUAACUUUUGUUUAAUUUUAAUUCAUGGAAAAAUAGAUUGUAAUUUAUUUUAAUCAAAAACUUUUCUUAAACAGUAAGAUAACCACAUCAGAGUGAUAUAACCUGGUAAACAUUACCUUAAUCUUGAACUCUUUUUCAUUUCAAUCAUAUAAGACAAGUGGUGGAAGAAAUGAAAUGGACCUUACAGGCAUCAUGAAGUGAGCCUCAGCUCUCAAGAAGAGAAGAAAUAAAGAAGUGUAAUUGGGUGAGUUAUAAUGUGAAAGCUGUAAUGUAGUGAGAAGGUUUAAUGCAUGUAAGGGAAGGAAAUGCUCUCAGUGCCAAAGUGGAUUUGUGGCUGGCAGGGGUGAAUGAGUGGUAUGAAUACAUCAAGGAGAGGGAUGUGCCUGAGGAUGGUUUUCUUAAUCCAUCAACUGCUCUUGGAGACAUUUGGAUAUAGAGGACAAAGGUGGGGCCAUCAAUUUAAAGGAUUAGGGCUAAAAGAAUGAACAAAGAAUGCAAACUGAAAGGUCCAAGCAUGGUCCCAUCAACAUCCCACAGGAGGGUGUAGGCAUCACAAAGAUCCAGGGAUUGCUGGGUGCUAGCCCAGGGUGGUUGCAGUGAUCUCUGGCCUUAAAUAAGAUGAAGAAGUCAGCUAGGUGAGAGACGAUUGGAGGGUUGGAAGUGGUUGAAAGAAUGGAGGGAAAGAGGAUUUGCCAUUUGAUAAGAAAUAGAAGGAGGUUUGUGAAAGUAAAAGUUUGAAAUUUUGUUGAUGAACCUCUCUCAGGCAUCUACUAAUGAUGCACCUGGCACACAGAGUGGCAGACAGUCUAGGAUGGCACAGAUCUUGGCAGUACUAUGGGACCAGCAUUGUCACAAGAAGGAGCAGUUUCUGAAAAAUGCAUAAAAUUUUUUCCUCAGUGUCAGGCAAUUUUUUUCCUCAGUCACUUCUCUUUUUGGAAGAGAAGUCACAUUAUUAUUGAUUAUCAUAAAAUUAUGCCUCUAUUGGCAUAAUUUUCUAAUGAAUUUUAUUCCCUGGGGACAAGAAGAUGAACAUUUAUGUCUCUGGUUACAUCUCUUAGAGUACACUAAAAGCAGCCAAGAAGUGCAAGAACUUGUUCCUGAUGUAUAUUUCCUUUGUGCUAGUCUUUCAAGACACUGAAGGUGUUGAGAUAUUGUUGAUAUUAUGUAACCAUCAUUAAUUAAGCACACAUAAGUGUUUAUUUUGGUUCUGAGAAAUCUUAUUUGAUCUCUGGAGACCCAUAAUGUGGUUCUUGCUCAAUCAUUUUGAGCAUAAAGGGCACUUUUCUAAGUACUGUAGAAGCUACAAAGUAUAAAUGAUCAUGAUCUGCAGAAUUUGAUGAAGCAGACAUGUUUCCUGCCAUAUGUUAAACGAUCAACUAGUUACUGUGUACUCUGUAGUUAUACAGGUUGAUAAUCUGAUGCUGAAUAAUGUGAUGUCAUGUGAAGACAAACUCUUUCCUUAUAUAGUCCCCAAGAAAUAAUAUUUUCUUUGUCCACAUCUGAAAAUUCACAGGCAAAUAUGCAACCAAUCAAAUCUUGUACAAAUGUUAACACCCAGAUGUGUGUUUCUGCAUGGAAUUAAUGUACAACUAGCAGAACUGUUGGAUAGAGAAAUCUUGUAAAAAUACAGAUUAGGCACACUUAAGUUAAAUAUGUCUAACUAGUCUGCCAAGAAUGUACAGUUUUAUGAAAUCUGUUUUAGGUACAAAACUCUCAACAUUUCCUUCUAAAACUUUCCAUUAACAUACAAAAAGGAGAGUGUAGAUUUCUGUAAUAAUCAGCAGAACCUUACCAUUUCAUGUAAACAAAUCAAAAGAACUAUAUAACCUUACUUCCAAAGGUCAACCUUUGCCCUCCAAACUCCCAUUAGAAGUUAGAACUUGAGUAAUCCUAUAUUUUAAUGAUAAACUUUGCAAUAAACACAUUCUAUGUAGUAAUAAUCAUUAAUAACAAGUUUGCAUGUUUGGUAGAACUUUUUUGAGAAAGACUGUCCAGUAUUUGUUAUGCUAAAAUCCAGCAGAACUUGAUUUGACCAUUUAGAGUGUCAAUUUAGAUUAUUAACAAAAAUGGGAAAGAGUGAAAAUUGAGAGAAAAUACCCAUAUCUGAGAAAAAGUGUCUCUUGUUCAGCUUGAUACACCUUAUAUCCCCAGUAAAUUAGAAGGGGCUAUUUGAAAUUUGGGAGCCACAGGGGAUCAAAAUCAGAUAAACCUCAGAACAGAAACCCAGGGUAAAUGCUUGCAGAAGUUCAAGCCUUCACACCUUACAAACUUCCAUUUUAUUCAAUAACUAGUUAGCCAGGAAAAUAAAGGAAAGAUUUCUCUCUGUGUGCCUGUAUGUGUUGUACAUGUACAUAUAUAAUGUAUGCACACAUUCACACACACCUGACUAUCCAGACUUAAUAUUUUUAUAAAUAUGGUGUGAGCCUUCCCUGCAUCCUCUCAUGAAAUCAGUGGGAACUUUGCUGAAACAAAGUGUUUGAAUAUAUUUCUAUUUCUAUUUCUAUUUCUAUUUCUAUUUCUAUUUCUAUUUCUAUUUCUAUUUCUAUUUCUAAUGAGAUCUAUUUCUGCUACUGGCCAUUUGAAGCCAGCAAACAGAAUAUGCUCUUUAUUGAUGUAUUAAUGAAAUUCUUUCAUUGCCACCUUGUUUGUUGAAAAAUUUGGUGAAAAAGAGAGUUAGUACUGAAUAGAUUUUUCUGUAAUAUCAUCAUUAAAAUACCAACUUGAGCUAGAAGGCCAGUGAAGAAGAAGAAAAAUCAGCAGGAAACUAUAUAUUGCAAUUUACAUUUGAAAUGUGGAUAUGCAGCAUGGAAGUUUUUUGCACUUCUCUUAAUGCUCUCUACUGCCAUACAUUACAUUAAUCUAGUGUCAGUUUAGGAAAGAUAUCAAGUGAGAAAAUUCUCAUUAGUUAACAUUCAUGACAUAUACAGGAUGAUUUAUCUCUUCCUAAAUGCAAAGUACUAAGAAUUCAUGCUCACCUACAUCACAAAGGUGAGUUCCUUUUCUGUUUGUAGAAAUAAUAUGCCCCCAAAAAUUGGGAGAACCACCAGCAAAUCCCAUGACAGCCAGUGGGAACUGGUUUUCUCCUCCAUUCCUUUGUGUCUGUGUUUUGAGUUCCUUGUGGAAAUGGACUCAGAUAUUAAUUUUGCAUUGAGAAGAUUCAUCCUUUUGGACAUGAAACAUAUAGUUUAGUCUGAAUUGGUACAUUAGGGUCAAAACCAAGCAAAGCUGCAGGAUUUAAAAUCCAGUCUAAGCUCUGGAGCUCUAGGCAGGUUUAUUUCAUUCUAAUGAUGUUACUAUUCAGUGUGCUGUUAGUGCUGUUCCAUCUGUCUCUGAUUCAGAGACCCAAUUUGAUUACCUGAAGUGGUGUCUUUUUUGAGGAAGGCUGAACAACCCUGCCCAUGAAAUUUCCCAUUUCUGGCCUCACUCUGACACUGUGUACUUUUCACAGACAGAUGGUCAUUGACUGAUCACAGUACUUUCUGGGUAUCUCCUGAUGGCUGCUCAACCCCAGAAACAAAAAGGGAAAGUUGCCAAGUCCAUUUGCUACAUGUGACUCCCCACUUCAGUCACACAGGAAAAGGCCUUGCCUCUAACCUGGGCAGUUGAUGGCUGGGUUUUCUCUUCAUGUGUAUCCUCUAAAACUGAACUGUGGAUUUGAGAGGAAACGAGCUUAAUAUGCCAUGUGCUUCCUAUUUGUUGGAGGCAUCAAUGCUGAAGCUCUGUUGGCAUGCUAAAAUGUGAACAUUUUUACAGUGUAGCAGGUUAUGGAAGCUGCUCUUGAUAAAUUCCAGUAACGGCAUUUUACACUCCAUGUGUUCCUUUCUGUGAAUGACAGAUUGCACUAUUAUGUCUCUAAAGAAGCUCUUGACAAGGGUGAUUCAGGCACAAAGAAAGUGGAACACGUGUCUAGUUCAGGGUUUCUACAUUCCCUAGCACAUUUACACAGGACUGUGAUCUUGUUCUCUCUGAUAUACUAGAGCAAGAAAAAACACUGCUCACUCUGAGUUAGACACUCCCUAAUAACAUCAGAGCCUCUGCUGAUGUAAACCUACAAAUAAACCUCUGAGUUUGCUAUCUCUUCUUCACUCUUGACUGAAUCUAGAGCUAUAUGUAGAAGUUUACCAGAUUUUUUCUUCUUUGUUGGACAGUAGAAGGGACUGUGGCAGAUAGACUAGAGGUAGAUGAUUUGACUUGCUGGAUAGCAGGGAUUAGAGAUCAACCAGUCUACCUGAGUAACUACUAGAAGUCUUUGUCUUGAAAAUAGAGUAACCAAGAAAAAAUAAUUGACAUACAUCAUGUAUUCUGAAAGUGCUUCUUGCAAGAAGAGCGUUCAUAACCUUACCCAGUAGGAAUCUUCCAGGCAUAGGAAUUACCACUGGUUUUAUCCAUUUGGUGGAACUAAUGGGAACAAAUUUCAAAGAUAUAUUAUUGCUUGUGAUUGGCUAAAUACUUAGAACACAUAUCAUUAACCACUAGGUGCUCUCUAAAGACAGCACACAAAUCUAGUUGUAAAUACUAGAAACACUGUGCCUGAUUUAGAAACAUUCAGAAUAACCCAGCAUUCCUCAAAUGCACAGUUUUAACUUUGCUCAAGUCUGUUUUGUGGUUUAUUCUUCAGCUUUCUAGGUGGAUACAUGAGUUUCCAUUUCAAGUUUUAGCUUAAUGACUCCACGUAACAAGCAGGAGAAAAGGGAAGCUGUAUGAAUUAAACAUUACAUAGGAUUUGGCAAAGCACGUACAGGAAUUCCAUAAGGAAGAGUAAAAAAAAAACCCCAAUCCCUACAUAGCUGCACAAAGUUAGCAGUAACAACAAAUAGUGCUGUUACCCUCUAAAAGAACACACUUUUCAGUCAGCCUUGGCUGGUGAAAUGCAGAAGCUUCAUGUGGAUUACAAUUUUUAAAAUCUUUCAACAUCAAAAAAUAGAGGAACUGUAGUGUGUUUUUGUUUCAGAGUACUUUGCAUGCAAUCUCAAGAUAAAUUGGAGAUACUGAUUGUGUUUGUACCUGUGCCAGACGUUGUCGUUAGAUAUUUCUGUUUUGUUUCAUCAGCCAGAUGAACUUACCCAGGGACAUUGAUCAAAUACCUACAUUUAAAAGAACACACUGUCAAAUUAGUGGAUAGAAAGAGCACAUUAUGAGAGAGAAAUUAUCUGGUGAAAGAUUUAAAGACUGACUCACUUGUGUUUUGUUUCAUUAAAUGCGGGGUAGUCCCCUUUCAUUUUCCAUUUAGCAUGAACCUACUUGUACUCCAUUACAGUAUCAGCCUUAGAAGAAACUCACUGGCUUGGGACACACGUGAGCCUCCUUGGAAAAAAUACAACUUCCCUUAUUACAGAUUCUAGAUUGCAUUAAAGUGUAGUGCCUGGGCUAGCUUAUCCCACAGGCCUUCCUGGAGAUAUUCCUGUGUACUCCAGCAGGUCUCAUGGCUGCAAAGGGUUGUGGUGGGCUGCAGGAGCAUUCCCAGAUGGCCAGGGUGGUGGCUGCUUCUCCAAGGGGAAGGACUUGGGACAGCAAAGGGUCCACCCACACCUCUCAGGAAUGCAGAAUACAUUCUCAAGAGGAAAAUACAAAAAUCCCUAGGAAAACUAUUUGGACAUUGUCCUUCCCCCCCUCCCUCUUAGAAGCUCUUGGAAGAAAAUCUUGAUCCUUUUAGUUAGUGUCAAGGGAGCAGCUUGUUGUGAUAAUGGAGGGGUGAAGAUGGGGCUGGAGAGUGAGCACGUGUGAGCUAGGGGACAUCCAGACGAGCAGAAAAAAAGAAUGAAAUGGAUUUAAAAAGGCUUCAGAAGUUACAGCUGAGAGUAUUUUAUCUUUGUUUUGGUAACACUGGGUAAUGUCAUUCAGGUUGGCUAAAAGCCCUUGCUCUUCAAAAGAGUUGUCAAAGAUUUAUUUUAUAAAAAUGUAAGCAAAAGACACACCAAACACUUUGUGUUUCAUGUUUUUAGGUCUUUGUGUUAGUGGUAAUUUCUUGCUGUCAUAUUUAUUAUACACUAAUUAUUUCUAGAUAGGAAAUACUUCUGUCCUCUGAUUGAUACCUGUAUGAUACCCAACUAUUUCUCUCUGGGUGUGUUAUCUGUAUAAAUGUACAGAACCCAGAGGACCCUGGAGCCCACCCCCAUCCUGCACAGCAAGAGCAGCCCAUUGCUGGCCCAGGCGAGAACUCAGACACCUUCAUUCAUUUUCAUCUCGGUGGGGGAUGCCUGAAAGGCCUCUGCCUGAUGUGGCAAGGAAGCCCCAAGGUGGGAAGAGCCAUCUGGCUGUAACUGAGGCUGUUCCUCAUGUGUGCUUGCCUGCUUUCUGCCCUCCAAAUGUUGUGACAUUCCUACUUUGGUGCAAUGCUGUGGUGCAAGAGGGCAACAUGUCAUUAAGUGCUUUGGUUGCUUGCUCAGGCCAUGCUCACCUUCAAGCCCCACACCUCAGGUACCUUGAAGCUGAGCAAGCAGGCAUGGAAAAGGUUCCCAGCAGGAUUUCACAUGGAAGAAACCCAGUGUUACUAGUCUUACCCUUAGCCUGUUAGCCCUCACAGUCAGUUGCACUAGUGUGUGCUCCUUGCUGUGAGGGAUCCUGGCAAAUGGGCCUCUCCCCUUCCUAAUCCAGGCAGUACCCAGAGAGCUGCCAUUCCAAAGCCAGGCUUCAUGGCUCAAACUCACAGUUCAUAGAGAAAGUGCCCUGUAUAAAUUGUCAGCUUUGAAGCCAAGCCCUUCCCCACUUAGCCUGCAUGGUAAAUCAAGCUUUGGUGCUACUUUCCAUCCAGCUCCAUUACACAAGUAGUCUGAUUUAGCUUUGUGGCAGAAAAGCGUUUUAGCUAAAAUGGGAUUUUUCACAGAGUGGGGAUAAACAUGACUGUUUUAUUUGUAAAGUGUAAGGCUAAGAGAUUGUAACAGGGAGUGCAGGUGCAGUUUCAAAUCCCUGCCUGGCUGUCUCAGUACCUGGGCUUGGUGCCUGAAUUCUCUCAUGCUCAGAUCUACAGCAGCACCACAACAAAUCAGAACCUUCCAUGAAAGCUUUCACUCCUCAUAUUUAAAAAGACAUUUCCAUUAAUGCCUGUGAAAUUUUGCCCUGCGUCUUUUGGAAGUGAAAAUAGCCAGCCCCCAGAACUACUGUACCAUCCUUGUUCCCCAGAAAUGUUAAUUCAUCAUUAAAAUUAUUAAACAGUAAA